rnacentral:lncRNA from 1 species
AUGGAGAUGCUUCGCACACAAAGGCAUCGGCUCAGUAGAUGGAUGGAUGCGCUGUCUUCUACCUCCUCGGCACACUGUGCUCUUUGUGGACAUUCGGAGUCCGUGUCGUGUCCCAGCGUCCUGCGGGUCGUCUGCCGGGGGGCUCCGACGUCACGCCACGGGCCCCUUCAAAGGCUCCACUCCCCGCUCCUCGUGCGUGGGGAGCCACAGCGGCCAUGGGCUGCACGCCCUCCAAGUCCGGCGCCACGUACUGCCAGGAGCGCGCGUGCGGGGACCUGGACACGUGCUCCACGGUGGUCGCGAGCGCGAAGAGCUCCCUCUCAACCCCCGAGUGGCCGCCCGCGAACUCGUGCGUGGAAACCGAGGGUGGGAAGCAGACCUUCCUCAGAGUGCCCUCUCGCAGCUGGCAUGGGCGCGCGCCGGACGCGUGCAACGAGCUCAGCGCGGCCGCGAGCCCCGGCCCUGACCCCGCGAGCCCCGCGCGCACGCCUCGCGCCGGCCCCAGGGCCAGCAGCAGUGAGAGCGACGGCGACUCCUCGAGAGAGAGCGAGACGCCACCGCGUGAUCAGAGGAGGUGACACGAGCCUGCAGCGGUCACGUGCCACAGUCUGAAGAGCAUCCGUGCGUCCCAUCAAGUACAUGCAGACGCAAGAGUUGUGUACCGUUGUGCGGUGAUGGGAUGUGUUGUCACGUGCUGUCCACAUGGCACGCGCACGCUGACUCAGCCUUUCUCUUUGCUGUGAAACGACAAGCUAAAUUUUUGACUGUUAUUUACUCACGGGAGUAGAGUAUAACCUCGCAAUACAGUGACGUUUACAGUUUCCAAAGUGUUUAUGUUGAACAAAUUCUUCGUGUUUAGGCCUGUAUUGUAUUAUACUGUAUAUCUGAUCUCUAGAACCGAUAUACAUCACUAAGGUAUUGAUAUUGUACAAUAAUCAGACAGCACACAUAUAGGGAAAAUAUGGUCUAAAUUUGUCCUGUGCUCCAAAGAUGCAUUUAUAAAGUUAUAAAUAUACUGAUAAUGUACAUAGGCCCAUGACUGUUGUAUUCACAUAUAAAGUUAGUGAACCAAUGAGACGUUUUCUACCACAGCAAAUUUCACACACAAACAAAUAAAAUGCUAGUUAUUAAUAGAAACCCCA